rnacentral:rRNA from 1 species
UACAGAGGGGGCAAGCGUUGUUCGGAAUUACUGGGCGUAAAGGGCGCGUAGGCGGCCUGUUAAGUCGGACGUGAAAUCCCUCGGCUCAACCGGGGAACUGCGUCCGAUACUGGCGGGCUUGAAUUCGGGAGAGGGAUGUGGGAAUUCCAGGUGUAGCGGUGAAAUGCGUAGAUAUCAGGAGGAACACCUGCGGUGUAGACGGCUUACUGGACCGUAACUGACGCUGAGGCACGAAAGCGUGGGUAGCAAACAGG